CAGGCCUAACACAUGCAAGUCGAACGGUAACAGAGAGUAGCUUGCUCCUUUGCUGACGAGUGGCGGACGGGUGAGUAAUGUCUGGGGAUCUGCCUGAUGGAGGGGGAUAACUACUGGAAACGGUAGCUAAUACCGCAUAAUGUCGCAAGACCAAAGCGGGGGACUUUCGGGCCUCUCACCAUCAGAUGAACCCAGAUGGGAUUAGCUAGUAGGUAAGGUAAUGGCUUACCUAGGCGACGAUCCCUAGCUGGUCUGAGAGGAUGACCAGCCACACUGGAACUGAGACACGGUCCAGACUCCUACGGGAGGCAGCAGUGGGGAAUAUUGCACAAUGGGCGCAAGCCUGAUGCAGCCAUGCCGCGUGUAUGAAGAAGGCCUUCGGGUUGUAAAGUACUUUCAGUCGGGAGGAAGGGUGUGAAAUUAAUACUCUCAUGCAUUGACGUUACUGACAGAAGAAGCACCGGCUAACUCCGUGCCAGCAGCCGCGGUAAU
rnacentral:rRNA from 1 species